rnacentral:rRNA from 1 species
AGAGUUUGAUCAUGGCUCAGGAUGAACGCUGGCGGCGUGCUUAACACAUGCAAGUCGAACGAAGCAUUUUGGAAGAAGUCUUCGGACGGAUUUUGGGAUGACUGAGUGGCGGACGGGUGAGUAACGCGUGGGCAACCUACCCUGUACAGGGGGAUAACAGCUGGAAACGGCUGCUAAUACCGCAUAAGCGCACGGGACCGCAUGGUCCAGUGUGAAAAACUCCGGUGGUACAGGAUGGGCCCGCGUCUGAUUAGGCAGUUGGCGGGGUGACGGCCCACCAAACCGACGAUCAGUAGCCGACCUGAGAGGGUGACCGGCCACAUUGGGACUGAGACACGGCCCAAACUCCUACGGGAGGCAGCAGUGGGGAAUAUUGCACAAUGGGCGCAAGCCUGAUGCAGCGACGCCGCGUGAGCGAAGAAGUAUUUCGGUAUGUAAAGCUCUAUCAGCAGGGAAGAAAACGACGGUACCUGCACAAGAAGCUCCGGCUAAAUACGUGCCAGCAGCCGCGGUAAUACGUAUGGAGCAAGCGUUAUCCGGAAUUACUGGGUGUAAAGGGAGCGUAGACGGCAUGGCAAGUCUGGUGUGAAAGACCGGGGCUCAACUCCGGGCCUGCAUUGGAAACUGUCAAGCUUGAGUGCCGGAGAGGUAAGCGGAAUUCCUAGUGUAGCGGUGAAAUGCGUAGAUAUUAGGAGGAACACCAGUGGCGAAGGCGGCUUACUGGACGGUAACUGACGUUGAGGCUCGAAGGCGUGGGGAGCAAACAGGAUUAGAUACCCUGGUAGUCCACGCAGUAAACG